rnacentral:rRNA from 1 species
AUACGUAGGUGACAAGCGUUAUCCGGAUUUACUGGGCGUAAAGGGCGUGUAGGCGGUCUUGCAAGUCAGAAGUGAAAUUCCUGAGCUCAACUCGGGCGCUGCUUCUGAAACUGCAGGACUUGAGUGCUGGAGGGGAUAGCGGAAUUCCUAGUGGAGCGGUAAAAUGCGCAGAUAUUAGGAGGAACACCGGUGGCGAAGGCGGCUAUCUGGACAGUAACUGACGCUGAGGCGCGAAAGCACGGGGAGCAAACAGGAUUAGAUACCCUGGUAGUCCGUGCCGUAAACGAUGAAUACUAGGUGUAGGGGGUAUCGACUCCCUCUGUGCCGCAGUUAACACAUUAAGUAUUCCACCUGGGGAGUACGGCCGCAAGGUUGAAACUCAAAGGAAUCGACGGGG